AAGCAUAUAAGUAAGCGGAGGAUAGGAAACUAAAUAGGAUUCCCUUAGUAAUGGCGAAUGAACAGGGAUAAGCUCAGCAUGGAAAUUGGGGCCUCUGGCCUUGAACUGUAGUCUUGAGAUGUGCUACCAACGGAGGCGCAGAUGUAAGCCUCUUGGAAAAGAGCGUCAGGGAGGGUGAGAGUCCCGUAUGUCAUCUGCAGUUCUCUGUGCACGGUACAUUUUCCAAGAGUCACGUUCCUCGGGAUUGGAGCGCAAAUUGGGUGGUAAAUUUCAUCUAAAGCUAAAUAUUGGUUCGAGACCGAUAGCAAACAAGUACCAUGAGGGAAAGGUGAAAAGGACUUUGAAAAGAGAGUUAAAAGUGUCUGAAAUUGCUGAAAGGGAAGCGAAUGGAACCAGUUGUUCUUGGCGAGUAUUGGUGUUGUCUAAAGUGAGGGCUUGCCACUUCAGCGCAAGUGUGGUGGCAGGUUUUGAUCUGGAUGCGAUACUGCAUCUCGCCUUGCAUGUCAACGUCAGUUCAUAAUUGAGGAAAACUCUAAGGACUUAGUAAUUUGCUUCCGGGUGACUGAAUGUCUCUAGUGGAACUCAUUUUUGAACUGCUUUUGUAUGUCUUGUUGCAAUGCUCUGCGUGCUUGCCCGUGAUCCGGUGCUUGCUCUGUUUGGCAUGGGGUUGCUGGUGCUUGGAGCAUGUCCUUGACAUAAGUACGAUGACGAAAUGGUUUUAUUCGACCCGUCUUGAA
rnacentral:rRNA from 1 species